UACUUCAAAUGAUUAACUCCUCGUAGGAAGCUGCGAGCAGCAAGCACUAAGACCAAAUCCAAUUAGUCAGAAAGGGAAGGCUAGUGAAAAUGGCGAUCAUGCGAGGACAACCGUUCGUGGCGAAGCUGGCGGCGGUGGCGAAAUACGGUGUGUUACCUGGUGCUAUGGUGGCGGCUUUGAUUUAUUCUCCACCUAGAUAUGGUUCUUCCUCCAAGGACAAUAAAUCCCCCAAAUAAGAUCCGUGUUCUUGCACUUUUUCGGGGCGAUCUGGUGCAUUGAUGUGCAUCCAAGUAGAUUUGUGCUCUACUUAAUGUGUUGGGCAAUGUAAUAAUCCUCAACUCAGGACCUUGUAGUUGGAUUUCAUGAGGAGGCAUUUAGUGAAUGGAAUUGCACCUUAUUUUGCUUCGAGGAACUUUGAGUUGUAAAUCUUUCUUGUUAAAAACUUGCUUACAAUUUGUAUCAGAGUUAAUCCAUGGUGCCCCAUUGUUCUUGAAAAGUUUGAAAUGCAUUAUUUUUCUUUUAUC